CCCCGGCGCCACAAGUGGUCAUCACGAUUAUUGGGCCUAAAGCGUUCGUAGCCGGUUUGGUAAAUCUCUUGUGAAAUUGUUCGGCUUAACCGGACAGCGCGCAGGGGACACUGCCAGACUCGAGACCGGGAGGCGCAAGAAGUAUGGCAUGGGGACUGGUAAAAUGGGAUAAUCCAUGCUAGACUACCGAUGGCGAAGGCAUCUUGCGAGAACGGAUCUGACGGUGAGGAACGAAAGCCAGGGGA
rnacentral:rRNA from 1 species